CGAACGCUGGCGGCGUGCUUAACACAUGCAAGUCGAACGCGAAAGGGACUUCGGUCCUGAGUAAAGUGGCGCACGGGUGAGUAACGCGUAGAUAACCUGUCUUCAUGUCUGGAAUAAUACGCCGAAAGGGGUACUAAUACCGGAUAUUCUUGCUUUUCAUAAGUUAUGCAAGCAAAGGUGGCCUCUGCAUAUGCUACUGCAUGAAGAGGGGUCUGCGUACCAUUAGCUAGUAGGUGGGGUAAUGGCCUACCUAGGCGACGAUGGUUAGCGGGUCUGAGAGGAUGAUCCGCCACACUGGCACUGGAACACGGGCCAGACUCCUACGGGAGGCAGCAGUGAGGAAUAUUGCGCAAUGGGGGAAACCCUGACGCAGCGACGCCGCGUGAGUGAAGGAAGGCCUUCGGGUCGUAAAGCUCUGUCAAGAGGGAAGAAGUGUACAAUGGCUAAUACCUGUUGUAUUUGACGGUACCUCUAAAGGAAGCACCGGCUAACUCCGUGCCAGCCGCUGC
rnacentral:rRNA from 1 species